rnacentral:rRNA from 1 species
CCUACGGGUGGCAGCAGUGGGGAAUAUUGGGCAAUGGAGGCAACUCUGACCCAGCAAUGCCGCGUGAGUGAUGAAGGUAAUUUUAUUGUAAAGCUCUUUUCUUUGGAACGAAUAAAUGACGGUACCAAAGGAAUAAGCCCCGGCUAACUACGUGCCAGCAGCCGCGGUAAUACGUAGGGGGCAAGCGUUGUUCGGAAUUACUGGGUGUAAAGGGAGCGUAGGCGGGACUGCAAGUUGGGUGUCAAAUCUACCGGCUCAACCGGUAGCCGCACUCAAAACUGCAGUUCUUGAGUGAAGUAGAGGCAGGCGGAAUUCCUAGUGUAGCGGUGAAAUGCGUAGAUAUUAGGAGGAACACCAGUGGCGAAGGCGGCCUGCUGGGCUUUUACUGACGCUGAGGCUCGAAAGUGUGGGGAGCAAACAGGAUUAGAUACCCUUGUAGUC